GUGGUUUAAUUCGAUGCAACGCGAAGAACCUUACCUCGGUCUUGACAUCCCGGAGACCCUUAGGAAACUAGGGGGUGCUUCCAUCUGGAAGAAUCUGGAGACAGGUGCUGCAUGGCUGUCGUCAGCUCGUGUCGUGAGAUGUUGGGUUAAGUCCCGCAACGAGCGCAACCCUUGCCUUUAGUUGCCAGCAGUUCGGCUGGGCACUCUAAAGGGACUGCCGGUGUUAAACCGGAGGAAGGUGGGGAUGACGUCAAGUCCUCAUGGCCUUUAUGACCAGGGCUACACACGUACUACAAUGGCCGAUACAAAGGGCAGCGACACUGCGAGGUGAAGCCAAUCCCGUAAAAUCGGUCUCAGUCCGGAUUGGAGUCUGCAACUCGACUCCAUGAAGUUGGAAUCGCUAGUAAUCGUGGAUCAGCAUGCCACGGUGAAUGCGUUCCCGGGCCUU
rnacentral:rRNA from 1 species